AUUAUUUUGAGGGAAUAGCCAUCAGAACAUCAACAGCGGAGGAUGUCAUAGAGCCCAUCUAGUCCCUCAGAGAGGCUGUAUGCCUCGUAUGGGUGCAAGACAGUUAUUGCAGCAGGACCUCUCCAAAACGUGGGGAGCAAUCACUAGCCAAAUCUAGAAGUGGCACAUCUCAGAGGAUAGCAGUAUAGGAACUCUGUAUCUUUCUUGUCAGAGACACAGACCUAUGGAGCCUGUACUUGUAGAGCUGAAGGAAGAGCUGUCCUCCAAGCAGUCAGAGGCUGGCUUUGGGAUGUGUUGGCUGUAACUCAUCCCAAGUUCCCACACUGACCAUCACACUGGUGCCUAGCUGCAGUCACUGAUCUAUAGAGUUCUCUGUUGAUCUGUUAUUUUGGAACCUGAGGAUAAAGGACUUAAGGGGUGUGACAGACUGAAUCAAAUAACUGUUCAGAUAUUUAACCUUGCUCUGCAGGCCUAGAUGCAAAAGUGGGCUGCCUGCAGGCCAAGGUGCCAGAGGGCAGCCUCCUUCAGCAGUGGAGGGCAGGUUUUGGUUGGGAGACCUGGCCCUCUGUAUGUGGCUGGAAAGGCACAGCAGCCUCCUGCUGAGCCUCCACCACAUUGCUAACCUAAGGGAUUUAGGGAUCUCAGUCUCCCGUGAUAUCAGGAAGCACUGGAGAGAUGUGAGCAGGGAGACAUUAGGUCCAGCCGAGGAGUCCACACAGGAGACACGAGGAGAUCUGUUCAAGCAGAUCAACCACACGUCUUACUUUAGUGACUGACUGACCUGCAGCUCUGCACCUUGUCAGAGGCACAGAGCCUCGUCUCAACCACAUCCUUCCCUGUGCAUACCACCCUUGUGGGGAGAACACCCAUUUAAGAAGCUGAGAAUAAUCCAAAUCAAGAUCUCCUUUUGCUAUACAAGCACUUACCAUGCUACAUUUGCCAGUGUUUGAAUAUCUGGAAGUACUAUGCAUCACAAAGUGUAUCUGAGUGAGGCAGAGAAAAG
rnacentral:lncRNA from 1 species